rnacentral:lncRNA from 13 species
AUGAUUAUUCCGAUAACUUCUGGUUCUGACAUUUUGUGGAAACUGAACUGCGCGUACAUCCUAGUGGGGUGUCUGCUGCCUGUUGUAGACACUCACAACAUUAACUGUAAGGUGAUCCAACAUCCUAACUAUACAACGACCUAUGACCUCCAUGAACUACCUGAAUCUCUGCCUUUGGCCUAUUGCGAGACCCAGUGGUUGGAUGAAAACAUAACUGUUCUUGCCAAUGACAAAGAGAGAGACGAAAACCGUACUUUGGCUCAGACCAGUCACUCCAUCACUAUCUUAGGCUGCCUGGACAGACUGACCUACUCAAUGGACUGCACGCUGACUGUGGCACCAUUUUGGGACGUGCAGUGCCUCACUAACGGCAGUCAUGGAACUUACAGUGCCUUGCGAAAGUAUUUGGCCCCCUUGAACUUUGACCUUUUGCCACAUUUCAGGCUUCAAACAUAAAGAUAUAAAACUGUAUUUUUUUGUGAAGAAUCAACAACAAGUGGGACACAAUCAUGAAGUGGAACGACAUUUAUUGGAUAUUUCAAACUUUUUUAACAAAUCAAAAACUAAAACAUUGGGCGUGCAAAAUUAUUCAGCCCCCUUAAGUUAAUACUUUGUAGCGCCACCUUUUGCUGUGAUUACAGCUGUAAGUCGCUUGGGGUAUGUCUCUAUCAGUUUUGCACAUCGAGAGACUGAAAUGUUUUCCCAUUCCUCCUUGCAAAACAGCUCGAGCUCAGUGAGGUUGGAUGGAGAGCAUUUGUGAACAGCAGUUUUCAGUUCUUUCCACAGAUUCUCGAUUGGAUUCAGGUCUGGACUUUGACUUGGCCAUUCUAACACCUGGAUAUGUUUAUUUUUGAACCAUUCCAUUGUAGAUUUUGCUUUAUGUUUUGGAUCAUUGUCUUGUUGGAAGACAAAUCUCCGUCCCAGUCUCAGGUCUUUUGCAGACUCCAUCCGGUUUUCUUCCAGAAUGGUCCUGUAUUUGGC